rnacentral:rRNA from 1 species
CCUACGGGAGGCAGCAGUGAGGAAUAUUGGUCAAUGGACGAGAGUCUGAACCAGCCAAGUAGCGUGAAGGAUGACUGCCCUAUGGGUUGUAAACUUCUUUUAUAUGGGAAUAAAACGUUCCACGUGUGGGAUUUUGUAUGUACCAUAUGCAUAAGGAUCGGCUAACUCCGUGCCAGCAGCCGCGGUAAUACGGAGGAUCCGAGCGUUAUCCGGAUUUAUUGGGUUUAAAGGGAGCGUAGGUGGAUUGUUAAGUCAGUUGUGAAAGUUUGCGGCUCAACCGUAAAAUUGCAGUUGAAACUGGCAGUCUUGAGUACAGUAGAGGUGGGCGGAAUUCGUGGUGUAGCGGUGAAAUGCUUAGAUAUCACGAAGAACUCCGAUUGCGAAGGCAGUUCACUGGACUGCAACUGACACUGAGGCUCGAAAGUGUGGGUAUCAAACAGGAUUAGAUACCCUUGUAGUC